rnacentral:rRNA from 1 species
UGGGGAAUAUUGCACAAUGGGCGAAAGCCUGAUGCAGCGACGCCGCGUGCGGGAUGAAGGCCUUCGGGUUGUAAACCGCUUUUAAUUGGGAGCAAGCGAGAGUGAGUGUACCUUUUGAAUAAGCACCGGCUAACUACGUGCCAGCAGCCGCGGUAAUACGUAGGGUGCAAGCGUUAUCCGGAAUUAUUGGGCGUAAAGAGCUCGUAGGCGGUUUGUCACGCCUGGUGUGAAAGUCCAUCGCUUAACGGUGGAUCUGCGCCGGGUACGGGCAGGCUAGAGUGCAGUAGGGGAGAUUGGAAUUCCCGGUGUAACGGUGGAAUGUGUAGAUAUCGGGAAGAACACCAAUGGCGAAGGCAGAUCUCUGGGCUGUUACUGACGCUGAGGAGCGAAAGCAUGGGGAGCGAACAGGAUUAGAUACCCUGGUAGUCCAUGCCGUAAAACGGUGGAUGCUGGAUGUGGGACCCUUCCACGGGGUUCCGUGUCGGAGCUAACGCGUUAAGCAUC